rnacentral:tRNA from 1 species
GCCGAGGUAGCUCAGCGGUAGAGCAACGCUUUCGUAAAGCGUGGGUCGUGAGUUCAAUUCUCACCCUCGGCU